rnacentral:lncRNA from 1 species
UUUGGCAAUGAUCACAUUGCCUCUCUAAAAGUGACAAAUUGGCAGCUGUUGCCAGGGAGAGGCCAUUUCCUGAUGGUCCACAUCAAAAUGUUAAUUGAAUCUAGGCCCCAGGGAGAAGCAACUUCCUGUGUAUGCAUGUUAAGAGACAAAAAUGGUGAAGUAUGAUCUUCCAGAAAAGAAAAGAGCCUCAGAUGGGCAUGUGUAUAACUCCAUAAACACACUGCCUGUGGUCAGUUCUCCAGGGUAAGGAGGGCACCGUGCUUGCAGAAAUCCCACCCUAAGGGAAGAGUCAUGGGAAAGAAGUGAGCCUAUAAAGUCCAAGGUGGCCCAAUGUAAUCACAAGGGUUUCUUAAACUCAGAAGAGGGAGGAAGAAAAGUCAGGGUCAGAGUGAUGUGAUGACCAAGACUUCACAACUACUGCUGGUUUUGAUGACAGAAGAGCACCAUGAGCCAAGGAAUGCAGGCAACUUCAAG